rnacentral:lncRNA from 1 species
ACACACAUAGCCAAUUUUGUGAACUCUUGUUUAGUUUGCCUCAAUUCUCUCUCUCUCACACACACAUCCACAUAGCAAAUUUUGUAAGCUCUUGCUCAGUUUGCAUCAAUUCUCUCUUUCACACACACACCCACACCAAAUUUUGUAAACUCUAUUUCAGUUUGCACCAAUUCUCUAUCUCACACACGCCGAGAAAAUUUUGCGAACUCUAGUUCAGUUUGCAUCAGUUCUCUCUCUCACAUCCACAUAGAAAAUUUUACAAACUCUUAUUAAGAAAGUGUUUGCAGAAACAGAUCUUCUUGGAAAAGCAGACAAGGUAAAGGAGUUGCAGCUAAUUACUAUCUUAAGAUGCUUAAUUCAACACAUAUUAAACUGUCUUGUGCAAUAAUGAAUUCAUAUCAUAGACUAUAUUAUCUAUAUUAAUAACAUUAAUGAACUCUAAUCAUUCUUUUGUAUAUUGUCUGUGGAUGUGCAGCUUAGUCUCUGGAGUUUUGUUUUUGACAGGGAACUGUGUUUUUGAAGUUAAAGCCGAGCAGCGAAGGUGAGGAUGAAUUUCGAUUCUGCUUGUUGAUCGUGUGUAGUGAAAUUUGAGAUUUUUCUUUUUUUCCUCUUUUUUUGGUGUUUCCUUUUGUACUAAUUGACAUGUUUGCCUAUAGAAAUCAAAAGCAUUUUCCUUGAGCGAGCGAACAAACUGCUUGACCAAAUGAUCUCCAUAGGUGCCAGCGUUAUUGCAUGUUUCAGCAAAAUGAGCCACAUGUUAUCUAGGAUUACCUUUUCCAUCGAAUUAUUGAAACUUGGGAGGCUGAUAGCCAAAAGGCAUCUUUAAUUGUUGAAACUUGUCUAGGAUAGUAUUUAUAUGUUUACCACAUUGUUAGAAUAUUUUAUGUUUGAAGAGACAUUGUUAGAAUAUUUACUACAUUCAACAAUAUUUUGGAAUAUGAAUACUAACCACCAAAUCUUUCAUGAGCUAACUAGUCAAAGUCAAAAGUGUCGGCAAAGAUUGAAAUAUAAAAAAUGAAAAAAGAAAAACCAUAUCUAGAAUGAAAGGCUGAACUCUUGAGGUUGCAU